rnacentral:lncRNA from 1 species
GUCCAAGUUGGCAAAAUAGUUAGUUAUAGUGGCCCAAGAAAAGUGUCCGAUAGACCUAUUCAGAUCGCAGCCGAAAAGACAGCUAACGAUUAGCGGGCCGCAGAUGGGCGAUCAGGUUACGUCGCGACGGAGGGGCCAGUUGGAUAACUCCCUCGGGCAGAUAACGUCGGUGGUCCAGUCGUGAAGACCCGAUGGGGCUCCGCAUCGGCAGUAAAACGGGUCAGGAUAGCCGGCUGACUAAGACUGACAUGGAGCUGGAGGUGCUGCGAUACACUAACCGGAUUUCCAGUGAAGCCCAUAAAGAGGGAGGAUGUUUUAUUCUGGAGCCCCUAUAUUCUGUCUCCAGCUGAGGGAUGAAGAUGUGCGCCCUGUCCCAAGGCCUCCCCAGUCUUAUCAAUCUGACUAGAGGAGGGCUGUGUAGACGUUUGAUCCUUGGUCCUGCUUGAUGAGAAGGCGGUGUGCAGAAAGAUGUUAAAGGCUCUGGGCUGGGGAAUACUGACACUGUAUUAACUUGAUGUAGUGUAUUAUAACAGGAUCCAGAUGUGACGUUGUCCCACUUCCACUUGGAGCUCUUGCACUAAGUCAAUAUGGAUGGAGCUAGGAGGAUUCAGUGACACGUUUGGCUGCAGUGUCCUUCACUGUUGUUUUCCCAUUCCACUGCUCGCUCUGAUGAUGUAAUUUGUCAUCAUAGAAGAAGCUACUACAGCUCAAUGAUAAGAGCACUGCCGCAUGUUAACAUAUUUUUUUUUAUAAUGUUAUAGUUUUCUUUGUAUAAUCUUCCCUGGUUUUUUAUCCUUUUGGACAUCUGAAGGCAGCCAAACUUUUUUGUGUAUAACUAAGCAAUAAACUUCCUUCCUUCACUGGC